CGCGGCCAUAUCACGUUGAAGCACCGGUUCCCGUACGAUCACCGAAGUUAAGCAACGUCAAGCCAGGUCAGUACCUAGAUCGCUGCCCGCUUUGUAAUGCCAGAAGCUGUAA